GACGAACGCUUGCGGCGUGCCUAAGAAAUGCAAGUCGAGCGGGGUCAGCAAUGGCCCAGCGGCGAACGGUCGCGUAACACGUAGGCAACCUGCCCGAAAGACCGGGACAACACUCCGAAAGGGGUGCUAAUACCGGAUGUGCCCACUGCUUCGCAUGUAGCGGUGAGUAAACCAGGCAACUGGCUUUCGGAGGGGCCUGCGGCCUAUCAGCUAGAUGGUGGGGUAACGGCCUACCAUGGCGACGACGGGUAGCUGGUCUGAGAGGAUGGUCAGCCGG
rnacentral:rRNA from 1 species